GUGGUUGUGGCUCAAUGGUAGAGCACUUGCCUAGCAUGUGUGAGGCACUGGGUUCGAUUCUCAGCACCACA
rnacentral:tRNA from 1 species